ACGCGCGACACGGGGUGCCCGCGACGGACCGGGCUGAGAACACACCCGCCGAACUUGAUCCGGCCAACACCGGCGAAAGGAUGUUGCAAUGGGCGACG
rnacentral:ncRNA from 2 species